rnacentral:rRNA from 1 species
GACAGAGGGUGCUAGCGUUGUUCGGAAUUACUGGGCGUAAAGGGCGCGUAGGCGGCCCGUUUAGUCGGGUGUGAAAUCCCAAGGCUCAACCUUGGAACUGCAUUCGAUACUGGCGGGCUAGAGACCGGAAGAGGUGGGUGGAAUACCCAGUGUAGAGGUGAAAUUCGUAGAUAUUGGGUGGAACACCGGUGGCGAAGGCGGCUCACUGGUCCGGUUCUGACGCUGAGGAGCGAAAGCGUGGGGAGCGAACAGG